GACGAACGCUGGCGGCGUGCCUAACACAUGCAAGUCGAACGGUAGCACAGAGAGCUUGCUCUCGGGUGACGAGUGGCGGACGGGUGAGUAAUGUCUGGGAAACUGCCCGAUGGAGGGGGAUAACUACUGGAAACGGUAGCUAAUACCGCAUAAUGUCGCAAGACCAAAGAGGGGGACCUUCGGGCCUCUUGCCAUCGGACGUGCCCAGAUGGGAUUAGCUUGUUGGUGAGGUAACGGCUCACCAAGGCGACGAUCCCUAGCUGGUCUGAGAGGAUGACCAGCCACACUGGAACUGAGACACGGUCCAGACCCCUACGGGAGGCAGCAGGGGGGAAUAUUGCACAAUGGGCGCAAGCCUGAUGCAGCCAUGCCGCGUGUGUGAAGAAGGCCUUCGGGUUGUAAAGCACUUUCAGCGGGGAGGAAGGCAAUGCGGUUAAUAACCGUGUUGAUUGACGUUACCCGCAGAAGAAGCACCGGCUAACUCCGUGCCAGCCGCCGCAGUAAAAC
rnacentral:rRNA from 1 species